rnacentral:rRNA from 1 species
GACGAACGCUGGCGGCGUGCUUAACACAUGCAAGUCGAACGGAAAGGCCCUGCUGUUGUGGGGUGCUCGAGUGGCGAACGGGUGAGUAACACGUGAGUAACCUGCCCUUGACUUUGGGAUAACUUCAGGAAACUGGGGCUAAUACCGGAUAGGAGCUCCUGCUGCAUGGUGGGGGUUGGAAAGUUUCGGCGGUUGGGGAUGGACUCGCGGCUUAUCAGCUUGUUGGUGGGGUAGUGGCUUACCAAGGCUUUGACGGGUAGCCGGCCUGAGAGGGUGACCGGCCACAUUGGGACUGAGCUAAGGCCCAGACUCCUACGGGAGGCAGCAGUGGGGAAUAUUGCACAAUGGGCGGAAGCAUGAUGCAGCAACGCCGCGUGCGAGAUGACGGCCUUCGGGUUGUAAACCGCUUUCGCCUGUGACGAAGCGUGAGUGACGGUAAUGGGUAAAGAAGCACCGGCUAACUACGUG